CCAGUUAUUAAUACCAUAUUUAGUGAAGAUGACCAGAAAGCUAGUGGAGGAAUACAGACUUCUUUGUUUGAAGAAAUAAACCUUAGGAAGAUGUAGUUCCAUGUAUCACAUGAAUAAACAAUUUGAAAAGUUAUUGAAGCAUCUGCAUUGGCCAUCACAUACUGGACAGCAACUUUUUAGAUCUGGACCACGCUGUUUUGUUGGUUUUGUGACCCUGAUCCCAUGGGCAUGAAGCAUUAAAGGAACUUCAGCGGAAAUUUAUGUCCAGUAUUGGAAAGUGCAUUCAAAAAUAAGACUCAAAGAGAGUUCAGAUGAGUGCUACAGGAAACACCUACAAAACAUGACCUGAAGGUACUGGAUAGAAUUCAGUGCAGUCACUUUGGAUCUCAGACAUGAAAGAUCCCUGGGAUUCACUGGCACAUGGAUGGAAAGCUAAUAGAAAUCUGUUAAUACAGUAACAGGAAAUGAGUGCCUAUUAAAAAAACUUGGUGACAUUGAAACCAAAAUGGUAAUGAAAUUACUAAAUUUGGUUCAGCCAUAGUUAUUGAGCUGUAUAUUGAAAAUAUAUAUAUACAUAUAAAAGUCUUGCUGUAAGUUGUUGUAUACAUUCUUAUAUCUUAUAUUAUGCAUGCCUGCAUGAAAGUAGUGAUACUUUUAAUUAAUUAAUUAAUCAAUUUUUAUUUAUAACUAAUUCCACUCUUUUGAUAGUUUCUGUCAAAUGCUAAUCUUCCUGGAAUAAUUAAGAAUUUUUCUUAUUGAAAUUAUUAGACAGACUCCCAUUUACUUUGACAGGUCUUCAAAGAAGGUUUGAGAAAAUUUAAAUUGAAAAUUAGGUAACCCAAUCUAUUCAUGCUCCUAGAGCAGAAACUGUGAAAGUCUACAAAAUAAUUUGCUAAAUACCAGAAAUACAGUGAAAAUUAGUUUUUUAAUGCUGUUUCAGUCUUUUGCUUUCAUUCUUAUCUAAAACCAAAACCUGAAUAUAUAUAUAUAUAUAUAUAUAUAUAUAUAUAUAUAUAAAGCCAACAAACAACCACCAAACAAAAAUAAUUAAAUCAACAAAAUAAAAAGACCAGCUUUCCUAAACUCAGACCGUUUUAUAAACAUCAUCCUUUGAGAAAACUAAUUUCUUAAUAUACCUCAAAUGUAUAUUUGGUACUUGUUCAUUACCUGAUGUACUACAAACUCAUAGAGUUGGAUUCAUGGAACUGGAAUAUUCCUACUCAUAGCUCUGACUAUGGUGCAAUCAUAUGCAAUUUCUGACUUAGACUCAGAUGUAUGUUCCAUGUAAGUAUCUUUUAAUAUUUAGCAGUACAGAAGUACAGGUUUAGUCUUACCAUAUAGUUGUUAGUGAAAGGUGAAAGUUAGGUAAAGAACCAUGUUCAAAUCAUAUUUAUGAUUAUUUACCUGAAAGAACUUGAGAAAGUAAAGUGCCUUUUUUUUUUUUUUUUUUAAUGUUCCUAAUGUUUCAACCCUUCAAUAAAUGUAUGUUUCCUUUGGGAAUUCAAAUUUCCUAGAGUGUUUUACCCAAGGACUUACACUACAGAAGAAGCUAGUCUGAGGACAAAAAAAGACUUGACCAGAGAUUUCUUCCCUCCAAAACAGUAUAGAGAACAAGAAUUAGAAUUAUAUGUCAGUCACUAGGAGGUUAUAAAAGCCUUUUCUGAGCAGUGAAAGCCUUGUUUCAUUUACCAUAGAGCUAGAAGUUUAAAGAAAAAGAUGGAUGGGAAUCAGAGUGAACUUUGGCUGAAGAUUUCUGGCAGUCAUGGAUAUUUCUUGGGGAGCUGGAUGUACUGCCUCUUCAGAAAUGGAAGAAGUGGGCACAUAAUUACAGCUUUUAGGGGUGACACUUGCUGUAUCCUACUAACACAAACACUUUCUGAUGACACACAUGUCCUAGUCUGUUUUUUCUGGAGAUCAAACACAAGCAAAGAUGGCAAAGUGGACAACCGCUCUCUCCUUCUCCAACAAUCUUCCACCUAGUGCAACUAGAAAUGGUCCUGUUGCUUCUUCUUUCUUUGGUCCUUACUCCCGUGAAAAAUCUUAAUGGAAACUGGACUGUGGAAAGCCCUUCUAAUAUACAGAAACAUGAUUUAGCAGAUUACCUUUUUCUUUUAUUGUUGCUCACUAUAGAUAGCUACAUCAUGUAGUAUUAUCAGUCAUAAUAUUGAUGUCUUUUUGCAGGCUUUGGUGAAAGAAUAGAAAAAACUGUAUACAGAUACUUUUUCUUCUGAGAAUUUAUUGUCAACAAAAAAAGUAAAAUAUAUUAUUUAUACUGAUAAAUAACAAAUAGAAGAAGGCUGAUAAUAAAUAAUAAUUAUUCUUCA